rnacentral:rRNA from 1 species
CAUAUGCCUUGUCUCAAAGAUUAAGCCAUGCAUGUCUAAGUAUAAACACCUUUAUACUGUGAAACUGCGUACAGCUCAUUAUAUCAGUCAUUAUUUAUUUGAUGGUACCUUACUACAUGGAUAACCGUGGUAAUUCUAGAGCUAAUACAUGCACUUAAAAUCCCGACUUCUGGAAGGGAUGUAUUUAUUAGGUUCAAAACCAUUGGGUGUGCCCUCACGGGCUUACUCCUUCUGGUGAUUCAUAAUAACUGUUCGAACCGCAUGGCCUUGCGCCGGCGGUAGUUCAUUCAAAUUUCUGCCCUAUCAGCUUUCGAUGGUAGUGUAGUGAACUAUCAUGGCAGCGACGGGUGACGGAGAAUUAGGGUUCGAUUCCGGAGAGGGAGCCUGGGAAACGGCUACCACAUCCAAGGAAGGCAGCAGGCGCGCAAAUUACCCAAUCCUGACACAGGGAGGUAGUGACAAAAAAUAACAAUACUGGGCCGUUUCGGUUCGGUAAUUGGAAUGAGUACAAUUUAAAUCCCUUAACGAGUAUCAAUUGGAGGGCAAGUCUGGUGCCAGCAGCCGCGGUAAUUCCAGCUCCAAUAGCGUAUAUUAACAUUGCUGCAGUUAAAAAGCUCGUAGUUGGAUUUCUGGCUUCGCGCCCCUGACCCGUCCGAGUUAUCGGGCUGUGUGUCGGUGUUGGUGCAUGCCAUCUUUUCCGGAUGACCGCUCUUGCUGUCUCUUCACUGAGUCUGGCUCGAGUCUUUUGGGAACCGGAUCUUUUACUUUGAAAAAAUUAGAGUGUUUAAAGCAGGCAUUUUCGCCUUUUGAAUACAUUAGCAUGGAAUAAUAAACUAGGACUUCGGUUCUACGUUUAUUGGUUUUAAGAACCGAAGUAAUGAUUGAUAGGGACGGAGUUGGGGGUGCUCGUAUUGAGUGGCCAGAGGUGAAAUUCUUGGAUUCACUCAAGACGAACUUAUGCGAAGGCAUUCACCAAGGACGUUUUCUUUAAUCAAGAACGAAAGUUGGGGGAUCGAAGAUGAUCAGAUACCGUCGUAGUCUCAACCUUAAACUUUACCGAUUCGGGAUUGGUGGCCGUUGAUUUAUCGACUCCAUCAGCACCGUAUGGGAAACCAAAAUCUUUGGGUUCCGGGGGGAGUAUGGUCGCAAGGCUGAAACUUAAAGGAAUUGACGGAAGGGCACCACCAGGAGUGGAGCCUGCGGCUUAAUUUGACUCAACACGGGGAAACUUACCAGGUCCGGACAUAGUGAGGAUUGACAGAUUGAAGAUCUUUCUUGAUUCUAUGGGUGGUGGUGC